GAUGAACGCUGGCGGCGUGCCUAAUACAUGCAAGUCGAGCGAACGGACGAGAAGCUUGCUUUUCUGAUGUUAGCGGCGGACGGGUGAGUAACACGUGGAUAACCUACCUAUAAGACUGGGAUAACUUCGGGAAACCGGAGCUAAUACCGGAUAAUAUUUUGAACCGCAUGGUUCAAAAGUGAAAGACGGUCUUGCUGUCACUUAUAGAUGGAUCCGCGCUGCAUUAGCUAGUUGGUAAGGUAACGGCUUACCAAGGCAACGAUGCAUAGCCGACCUGAGAGGCUGAUCGGCCACACUGGAACUUAGACACGGUCCAGACUCCUACGGGAGGCAGCAGUAGGGAAUCUUCCGCAAUGGGCGAAAGCCUGACGGAGCAACGCCGCGUGAGUGAUGAAGGUCUUCGGAUCGUAAAACUCUGUUAUUAGGGAAGAACAUAUGUGUAAGUAACUGUGCACAUCUUGACGGUACCUAAUCAGAAAGCCACGGCUAACUACGUG
rnacentral:rRNA from 1 species